rnacentral:rRNA from 1 species
ACGAACGCUGGCGGCGUGCUUAACACAUGCAAGUCGAACGAAGCUUGAUUACGGAUUCUUCGGAUGAAGUAUGAUAUGACUGAGUGGCGGACGGGUGAGUAACGCGUGAGUAACCUGCCCUUCAGAGGGGGAUAGCGUUUGGAAACGAACGGUAAUACCGCAUAAUGUAUUUUGACCGCAUGAUCGAAAUACCAAAGAUUUAUCGCUGAAGGAUGGACUCGCGUCUGAUUAGGUAGUUGGUGGGGUAACGGCCUACCAAGCCGACGAUCAGUAGCCGGACUGAGAGGUUGAUCGGCCACAUUGGGACUGAGACACGGCCCAGACUCCUACGGGAGGCAGCAGUGGGGAAUAUUGCACAAUGGGCGCAAGCCUGAUGCAGCAACGCCGCGUGAAGGAAGACGGUUUUCGGAUUGUAAACUUCUGUUCUUAGUGAAGAAUAAUGACGGUAGCUAAGGAGCAAGCCACGGCUAACUACGUGCCAGCAGCCGCGGUAAUACGUAGGUGGCAAGCGUUGUCCGGAAUUACUGGGUGUAAAGGGAGCGCAGGCGGGUGAUCAAGUCAGCUGUGAAAACUACGGGCUUAACCCGUAGACUGCAGUUGAAACUGUUCAUCUUGAGUGAAGUAGAGGUUGGCGGAAUUCCGAGUGUAGCGGUGAAAUGCGUAGAUAUUCGGAGGAACACCGGUGGCGAAGGCGGCCAACUGGGCUUUAACUGACGCUGAGGCUCGAAAGUGUGGGGAGCAAACAGGAUUAGAUACCCUGGUAGUCCACACUGUAAACGAUGAUUGCUAGGUGUGGGGGGUCUGACCCCUUCCGUGCCGGAGCUAACGCAAUAAGCAAUCCACCUGGGGAGUACGACCGCAAGGUUGAAACUCAAAGGAAUUGACGGGGACCCGCACAAGCAGUGGAUUAUGUGGUUUAAUUCGAAGCAACGCGAAGAACCUUACCAGGUCUUGACAUCCUUUGACCACUCUAGAGAUAGAGCUUCCCCUUCGGGGGCAAAGUGACAGGUGGUGCAUGGUUGUCGUCAGCUCGUGUCGUGAGAUGUUGGGUUAAGUCCCGCAACGAGCGCAACCCUUAUUGCCAGUUACUACGCAAGAGGACUCUGGCGAGACUGCCGUUGACAAAACGGAGGAAGGUGGGGACGACGUCAAAUCAUCAUGCCCUUUAUGACUUGGGCUACACACGUACUACAAUGGCGUUAAACAAAGAGAAGCAAGACCGCGAGGUGGAGCAAAACUUCAAAAAUGGUCUCAGUUCGGACUGCAGGCUGCAACCCGCCUGCACGAAGUUGGAAUUGCUAGUAAUCGUGGAUCAGCAUGCCACGGUGAAUACGUUCCCGGGUCUUGUACACACCGCCCGUCACACCAUGGGAGCCGGUAACACCCGAAGUCAGUAGUCUAACCGCAAGGAGGACGCUGCCGAAGGUGGGAUUGGCGACUGGGGUG